rnacentral:tRNA from 1 species
GGUUAACUUGUUGGCUUAAACAGCGGUUACAGAAAUCUCUAAGCCGUGGGUCGCAGGUUCGAAUCCUGCAGGAG